rnacentral:piRNA from 1 species
UACACUUAAGUGAAGCGAAACUCCACAUUCC